rnacentral:rRNA from 1 species
GGAAUUUUCCGCAAUGGGCGAAAGCCUGACGGAGCAAUACCGCGUGAGGGAUGACUGCCUAUGGGUUGUAAACCUCUUUUUUCAGGGAGGAAUAAAUGACGUGUACCUGAAGAAUAAGCAUCGGCUAACUCCGUGCCAGCAGCCGCGGUAAGACGGAGGAUGCAAGUGUUAUCCGGAAUCACUGGGCGUAAAGCGUCUGUAGGUGGCUCGACAAGUCAACUGUUAAAUCUUGAAGCUCAACUUCGAAAUCGCAGUCGAAACUAUCGAACUAGAGUAUAGUAGAGGUAAAGGGAAUUUCCAGUGGAGCGGUGAAAUGCGUAGAGAUUGGAAAGAACACCGAUGGCGAAGGCACUUUACUGGGCUAUUACUGACACUCAGAGACGAAAGCUAGGGUAGCAAAUGGGAUUAGAUACCCCAGUAGUC